rnacentral:rRNA from 2 species
UGGGGAAUAUUGCACAAUGGGCGCAAGCCUGAUGCAGCCAUGCCGCGUGUAUGAAGAAGGCCUUCGGGUUGUAAAGUACUUUCAGUGGGGAGGAAGGGAGUAAAGUUAAUACCUUUGCUCAUUGACGUUACCCGCAGAAGAAGCACCGGCUAACUCCGUGCCAGCAGCCGCGGUAAUACGGAGGGUGCAAGCGUUAAUCGGAAUUACUGGGCGUAAAGCGCACGCAGGCGGUUUGUUAAGUCAGAUGUGAAAUCCCCGGGCUCAACCUGGGAACUGCAUCUGAUACUGGCAAGCUUGAGUCUCGUAGAGGGGGGUAGAAUUCCAGGUGUAGCGGUGAAAUGCGUAGAGAUCUGGAGGAAUACCGGUGGCGAAGGCGGCCCCCUGGACGAAGACUGACGCUCAGGUGCGAAAGCGUGGGGAGCAAACAGG